GAAAAUUUGUGUCCCAGGUCCGGGCGCCAUCAGAGGAGUAAGAGGUCUGGACCCUUUCUCUGGCAGGAGAAAGACACUUUCUAUCAGCAUCUGAACUGGCAAAAACAACUGGACUGUGAUACUCUUCUGUGAAAUAAUUUCAUACUAUCAACAGUUGGAUCAAAACACAAGUUGACUUUAUGGAACAAGAUAAAACAAGACUGUUCAAUAAGUACAUCUGAAUACAAUUAAAUAUGGCCAGUAUGAGUAA